rnacentral:rRNA from 1 species
UGGCUAGCUGCUUGCACAUGCAGUCGUACGAUGUAACCACUUCGGUGGGGAUUAGUGGCGAACGGGUGAGUAACACGUGGGCAAUCUGCCCUUCACUCUGGGACAAGCCCUGGAAACGGGGUCUAAUACCGGAUACUGACCCUCGCAGGCAUCUGCGAGGUUCGAAAGCUCCGGCGGUGAAGGAUGAGCCCGCGGCCUAUCAGCUUGUUGGUGAGGUAAUGGCUCACCAAGGCGACGACGGGUAGCCGGCCUGAGAGGGCGACCGGCCACACUGGGACUGAGACACGGCCCAGACUCCUACGGGAGGCAGCAGUGGGGAAUAUUGCACAAUGGGCGAAAGCCUGAUGCAGCGACGCCGCGUGAGGGAUGACGGCCUUCGGGUUGUAAACCUCUUUCAGCAGGGAAGAAGCGAAAGUGACGGUACCUGCAGAAGAAGCGCCGGCUAACUACGUGCCAGCAGCCGCGGUAAUACGUAGGGCGCAAGCGUUGUCCGGAAUUAUUGGGCGUAAAGAGCUCGUAGGCGGCUUGUCACGUCGGUUGUGAAAGCCCGGGGCUUAACCCCGGGUCUGCAGUCGAUACGGGCAGGCUAGAGUUCGGUAGGGGAGAUCGGAAUUCCUGGUGUAGCGGUGAAAUGCGCAGAUAUCAGGAGGAACACCGGUGGCGAAGGCGGAUCUCUGGGCCGAUACUGACGCUGAGGAGCGAAAGCGUGGGGAGCGAACAGGAUUAGAUACCCUGGUAGUCCACGCCGUAAACGGUGGGCACUAGGUGUGGGCAACAUUCCACGUUGUCCGUGCCGCAGCUAACGCAUUAAGUGCCCCGCCUGGGGAGUACGGCCGCAAGGCUAAAACUCACAGGAAUUGACGGGGGCCCGCACAAUCGGCGGAGCAUGUGUCUUAAUUCUACGCAACGCGCAGAAACAUUAUCAAGGUGUGGACAUACAUCCGCAGAGCAUCAUAGAUGGUGCCCCCCCUUUUUGGUCGGUGUACAAGAAGGUGCAUGGCCUGGCCUUCACCUCCGUGUCGGUGACCAUGAUAU